rnacentral:rRNA from 1 species
AGCCCGAGUAAACGGCGGCCGUAACUAUAACGGUCCUAAGGUAGCGAAAUUCCUUGUCGGUUAAAUACCGACCUGCAUGAAUGGCGUAACGAGAUGGGAGCUGUCUCAACCAGAGAUUCAGUGAAAUUGUAGUGGAGGUGAAAAUUCCUCCUACCCGCGGCAAGACGGAGAGACCCCGUGGACCUUU